rnacentral:rRNA from 1 species
GUUGUAUGGUUAAGUGACUAAGCGUACACGGUGGAUGCCUUGGCAGUUGGAGGCGAUGAAGGACGUACUAACUUGCGAUAAGCCUAGUCAAGCCAGUAAGAGGCGCUUGAGACUAGGAUUUCCGAAUGGGGAAACCCACCUGCUUGCAGGUAUCGUUAACUGAAUACAUAGGUUAACGAGGCGAACGCGGAGAACUGAAACAUCUAAGUACCCGUAGGAAAAGAAAUCAACCGAGAUUCCGAAAGUAGCGGCGAGCGAAAUCGGAGCAGCCCUUAAGCUUUAGUGUAGUUAGUGGAAUAUGCUGGAAAGCAUGACGAAACAGGGUGAUAGUCCCGUACACAAAAACUUAUCUAAAGUGAAAUCGAGUAGGUCGGAGCACGUGAAACUUUGACUGAAUAUGGGGGGACCAUCCUCCAAGGCUAAAUACUCCCAACUGACCGAUAGUGAACCAGUACCGUGAGGGAAAGGCGAAAAGAACCCCUGUGAGGGGAGUGAAAUAGAACCUGAAACCGUGUACGUACAAGCAGUAGGAGCCUACUUGUUGGGUGACUGCGUACCUUUUGUAUAAUGGGUCAGCGACUUAUAUUCUGUAGCGAGGUUAACCAUUUAGGGGAGCCGUAGCGAAAGCGAGUCUUAACUGGGCGCUUAAGUUGCAGGGUAUAGACCCGAAACCCGGUGAUCUAGCCAUGGGCAGGUUGAAGGUUGAGUAACAUCAACUGGAGGACCGAACCCACUAACGUUGAAAAGUUAGGGGAUGACCUGUGGCUAGGAGUGAAAGGCUAAUCAAACCGGGAGAUAGCUGGUUCUCCCCGAAAUCUAUUUAGGUAGAGCCUCGGACGAAUACUUACGGGGGUAGAGCACUGUUAAGGCUAGGGGGUCAUCCCGACUUACCAACCCUUUGCAAACUCCGAAUACCGUAAAGUAAUAUCCGGGAGACACACGGCGGGUGCUAACGUCCGUCGUGGAGAGGGAAACAACCCAGACCGUCAGCUAAGGUCCCAAAGUGUAUGUUAAGUGGGAAACGAUGUGGGAAGGCUAAAACAGCUAGGAGGUUGGCUUAGAAGCAGCCACCCUUUAAAGAAAGCGUAAUAGCUCACUAGUCGAGUCGGCCUGCGCGGAAGAUGUAACGGGGCUAAACAUACCACCGAAGCUACGGCUGCGAAUAUACCACCCAAACUAUUUUAAGAUUAACGUUGACGCACGAAGUGCCCAACGGUCAAGCGACCAACACGUUGAGUUGGCAAGAGAUAGUUUCGGGGUAUAUUCGCGGGGUAGGGGAGCGUUCUGUAAGUGGCUGAAGGUGUGCCGGGAGGCAUGCUGGACAUAUCAGAAGUGCGAAUGCUGACAUGAGUAACGACAAGAGGAGUGAAAAACUCCUCCGCCGGAAGACCAAGGGUUCCUAUCCCAUGUUAAUCAGGGUAGGGUGAGUCGACCCCUAAGGCGAGGCUGAAGAGCGUAGUCGAUGGGAAACGGGUUAAUAUUCCCGUACUCGGUAUGAAUGCGAUGGGGGGACGGAGCAGGCUAGGCAAGCAUGGCGUUGGUUGUCCAUGUGAAAGGCUGUAGGCUGGUGACUUAGGAAAAUCCGGGUUGCUAAGGCUGAGAGUCGAGACGAGCCACUAAGGUGGUGAAGUUGUUGAUGCCCUACUUCCAGGAAAAGCCUCUAAGCUUCAGUUCAUACUGAAUCGUACCCUAAACCGACACAGGUGGUCAGGUAGAGAAUACUAAGGCGCUUGAGAGAACUCGGGUGAAGGAACUAGGCAAAAUUGUACCGUAACUUCGGGAGAAGGUACGCUCUUGUUUGUGAAAGACUUGCUCUGUAAGCAAACGAGAGCCGCAGUGACCAGGUGGCUGGGACUGUUUAUUAAAAACACAGCACUGUGCAAAAUCGUAAGAUGACGUAUACGGUGUGACACCUGCCCGGUGCCGGAAGGUUAAUUGAUGGGGUUAGCUUAGGCGAAGCUCUUGAUCGAAGCCCCGGUAAACGGCGGCCGUAACUAUAACGGUCCUAAGGUAGCGAAAUUCCUUGUCGGGUAAGUUCCGACCUGCACGAAUGGUGUAACCAUGGCCACGCUGUCUCCACCCGAGACUCAGUGAAAUUGAAAUCGCAGUGAAGAUGCUGUGUACCCGCGGCUAGACGGAAAGACCCCGUGAACCUUUACUACAGCUUGGCACUGAACAUUGACCCUACAUGUGUAGGAUAGGUGGGAGGCUUUGAAGCAGGAACGCUAGUUUCUGUGGAGCCGACCUUGAAAUACCACCCUUGUAGUGUUGAUGUUCUAACUUAGGCCCCUGAAUCGGGGUUGAGGACAGUGCCUGGUGGGUAGUUUGACUGGGGCGGUCUCCUCCCAAAGAGUAACGGAGGAGCACGAAGGUUUGCUAAGUACGGUCGGACAUCGUACGGUUAGUGUAAUGGUAGAAGCAAGCUUAACUGCGAGACAGACACGUCGAGCAGGUACGAAAGUAGGUCAUAGUGAUCCGGUGGUUCUGAAUGGAAGGGCCAUCGCUCAACGGAUAAAAGGUACUCCGGGGAUAACAGGCUGAUACCGCCCAAGAGUUCAUAUCGACGGCGGUGUUUGGCACCUCGAUGUCGGCUCAUCACAUCCUGGGGCUGAAGUCGGUCCCAAGGGUAUGGCUGUUCGCCAUUUAAAGUGGUACGCGAGCUGGGUUUAGAACGUCGUGAGACAGUUCGGUCCCUAUCUGCCGUGGGCGUUUGAGAAUUGAGAGGGGCUGCUCCUAGUACGAGAGGACCGGAGUGGACGAACCGCUGGUGUUCGGGUUGUGAUGCCAAUUGCAUUGCCCGGUAGCUACGUUCGGAACUGAUAACCGCUGAAAGCAUCUAAGCGGGAAGCAGGCCUCGAGAUGAGUUCUCACUUUGACUUAGAGUCAACUGAAGGGCCGUUGAAGACUACAACGUUGAUAGGCGAGAUGUGGAAGUGCUGUGAGGCAUUAAGCUAACUCGUACUAAUUACCCGUGAGGCUUAACCAUACAACGCCAAAGUGGUUU